ACUACCCGCUGAACUUAAGCAUAUCAAUAAGCGGAGGAAAAGAAACUAACAAGGAUUCCCCUAGUAGCGGCGAGCGAAGCGGGAAGAGCUCAAAUUUAUAAUCUGGCACCUUCGGUGUCCGAGUUGUAAUCUCUAGAAGUGUUUUCCGCGUUGGACCGCACACAAGUCUGUUGGAAUACAGCGGCAUAGUGGUGAAACCCCCGUAUAUGGUGCGGACGCCCAGCGCUUUGUGAUACACUUUCAAUGAGUCGAGUUGUUUGGGAAUGCAGCUCAAAUUGGGUGGUAAAUUCCAUCUAAAGCUAAAUAUUGGCGAGAGACCGAUAGCGAACAAGUACCGUGAGGGAAAGAUGAAAAGCACUUUGGAAAGAGAGUUAACAGUACGUGAAAUUGUUGGAAGGGAAACGCUUGAAGUCAGACUUGCUUGCCGGAGCUUGCUUCGGUUUGCAGGCCAGCAUCAGUUUUCCGGGGUGGAUAAUGACGGUUUGAAGGUAGCAGUCUCGGCUGUGUUAUAGCUUUCCGUUGGAUACAUCCUGGGGGACUGAGGAACGCAGCGUGCUUUUUGCGAAAGACUCGUC
rnacentral:rRNA from 1 species